rnacentral:rRNA from 13 species
AGUGGCGGACGGGUGAGUAACGCGUAGGUAUCUAUCCCUGGGUGGGGGACAACUGCGGGAAACUGCAGCUAAUACCGCAUGACACCUGAGGGUCAAAGGCGCAAGUCGCCUGGGGAGGAGCCUGCGUCCGAUUAGCUUGUUGGUGGGGUAAAGGCCUACCAAGGCGACGAUCCAUAGCUGGUCUGAGAGGAUGAUCAGCCACACUGGGACUGAGACACGGCCCAGACUCCUACGGGAGGCAGCAGUGGGGAAUAUUGGACAAUGGGCGCAAGCCUGAUCCAGCCAUGCCGCGUGAGUGAUGAAGGCCCUAGGGUUGUAAAGCUCUUUCAGCGAGGAGGAUAAUGACGUUACUCGCAGAAGAAGCCCCGGCUAACUUCGUGCCAGCAGCCGCGGUAAUACGAAAGGUGCAAGCGUUAAUCGGAAUUACUGGGCGUAAAGC